AAUCAACGCUGGCGGCGUGCCUCAGACAUGCAGGUCGAACGAUUAAGACUCUCUUCGGAGAGUGUAUAAAGUGGCGCACGGGUGAGUAACACGUAGGUAAUGUACCGAAGGGUGGGGAAUAACUUAGGGAAACUUAAGCUAAUACCGCAUAAUGCAGCGGCUCGACAUCGAGACAGUUGUUAAAGGAGCAAUCCGCCUUUUGAGCAGCCUGCGGCAGAUUAGCUAGUUGGUAAGGUAAUGGCUUACCAAGGCUACGAUCUGUAACCGACCUGAGAGGGUGGUCGGUCACACUGACACUGAAUAACGGGUCAGACUCCUACGGGAGGCAGCAGUCGGAAUUUUGGGCAAUGGGCGAAAGCCUGACCCAGCAACGCCGCGUGAAGGAUGAAGUAUUUCGGUAUGUAAACUUCGUAAGAAUAGAGAAUAAAUGACGGUACUAUUUGUAAGGUACGGCUAACUACGUGCAGCAGCGCGUAAU
rnacentral:rRNA from 1 species